rnacentral:rRNA from 1 species
CCUACGGGAGGCAGCAGUAGGGAAUAUUUCGCAAUGGGGGAAACCCUGACGAAGCAAUACCGCGUGAGUGAUGAAGGUUUUCGAAUCGUAAAGCUCUGUUAUAAGGAAAGAAUAGUUAGAGUAGGAAAUGGCUCUAAUUUGACGGUACCUUAUCAGAAAGCCACGGCUAACUACGUGCCAGCAGCCGCGGUAAU